rnacentral:rRNA from 1 species
UGGGGAAUCUUGGACAAUGGGCGCAAGCCUGAUCCAGCAAUGCCGCGUGUGUGAAGAAGGCCUUCGGGUUGUAAAGCACUUUCGGUAGGGAGGAGGUUAACUUUUUUUAAUAAAAAAAGUUGAUGACGUUACCUACAGAAGAAGCACCGGCUAACUCUGUGCCAGCAGCCGCGGUAAUACAGAGGGUGCAAGCGUUAAUCGGAAUUACUGGGCGUAAAGGGUGAGUAGGUGGUAAAUUAAGUUAUGUGUGAAAUCUUUAAGCUUAACUUAAAAACUGCACAUAAUACUGAAUUACUAGAGUAUUGUAGAGGGUAGUGGAAUUUCCGGUGUAGCGGUAAAAUGCGUAGAUAUCGGGAGGAACACCAGUGGCGAAGGCGGCUACCUGGACAAAUACUGACACUAAUACACGAAAGCGUGGGGAGCAAACA